rnacentral:rRNA from 1 species
AUUGAACGCUGGCGGCAGGCCUAACACAUGCAAGUCGAACGAGCGGCGGACGGGUGAGUAAUGUCUGGGAAACUGCCUGAUGGAGGGGGAUAACUACGGGAAACGGUAGCUAAUACCGCAUACCAUCAGAUGUGCCCAGAUGGGAUUAGCUUGUUGGUGGGGUAACGGCUCACCAAGACGACGAUCCCUAGCUGGUAUGAGAGGAUGACCAGCCUCACUGGAACUGAGACACGGUCCAGACUCCUACGGCGUGCAGGAGUGAUGAAUAUUGCACAAUGGGCGCACGCCUGAUACAGGCAUGGCACUUGUAUGAAGAAGGCCUUCGUGUUGUAAAGGACUUUCAGCAGUGAGGCGUUACCCACAGAAGAAGCACCGGCUAACUCCGUGCCAGCAGCCGCGGUAAUUC